CUAUCGAUGCUUUUCGAAAACAAUCGCUGGUUUCUCCGCACAGACGUCACUAAUACUUUGAUACAGCAAGAGAAACAUAUUUUAGAAAAGAAAUAACUAUUUGAUAAGAUUGGUGGUGUUGGAAGAGGUUGGAGAUGGAUAAAUACUUGAAAAGUAAGUACUUUUAAUGCAAACACUCAAACAGAGCAUACUCAAUAAUGCUCUUGAGGACGUAUUUUGAGAGACCUAAUGAGCCGGGGGAUAAGAAUCCACUUGCUUAUUGGAUGUGAGAGUCUGAAGCCAAUAACCAAACUUUGUAAAAAGUACCUGUGCAUUCCGGCCAGUUCAACAGAAUCUGAAAGAACCAUCAGUAAAGCUGGUCAGAUUGUAUCUGACCGCAGAGCAACGCUUAAACCAAAAGUAGUAGACAUGCUAUUUUUUGUGAACAAAAGCCAGAAACAAUGAUCUCUUGUUGGCUUAUUAUGAAUAUAAAAAAAAUUAUUUUGUUAUUACUAAA